GUGGGGAAUAUUGGACAAUGGGCGAAAGCCUGAUCCAGCAAUGCCGCGUGUGUGAAGAAGGCCUGAGGGUUGUAAAGCACUUUCAAUGGGAAGGAAAAAAGUCGGGUUAAUACCCCGAUUCUUGACAUUACCUAUAGAAGAAGCACCGGCUAACUCCGUGCCAGCAGCCGCGGUAAUACGGAGGGUGCAAGCGUUAAUCGGAAUUACUGGGCGUAAAGCGUGCGUAGGCGGUUAUUUAAGUCAGAUGUGAAAGCCCCGGGCUCAACCUGGGAACUGCAUUUGAUACUGGGUAACUAGAGUUUAGUAGAGGAGAGCGGAAUUUCCGGUGUAGCGGUGAAAUGCGUAGAUAUCGGAAGGAACACCAGUGGCGAAGGCGGCUCUCUGGACUAAAACUGACGCUGAGGUACGAAAGCGUGGGUAGCAAACAGGAUUAGAAACCCUUGUAGUCC
rnacentral:rRNA from 1 species